CCCGCGCACCGCAUGGGCUGCCCGGGGCACCGGCACCUCGUUUCCAGCUCUCCACGGCCCUGACAGCUGAGCCCCUGCUGUCUCAGAGCCACGGGCUCGCCUCCCGUGGGGCAGACACCUUCCGGAUGCAGCCUGGGCGCCCUGGGCUCCCUUCCCCUGGUGCGAGGGUGGCCCAGCAGCCACCGCCAGACUCCAAAGGCCCCCGGCUGUGUAGACGGGGGCUGCUGCCUGCCCCACUGCAGCCCCGCUCUCUGCUCCCUCUUUUUCCAUCUCUGUGAAAACCCUGCCUUGAAAAGAAGAAAUGAGGUACUUUUAAAGAACAGACAAAACACAGCAAAACCCCAAACUUCCUGCAUUAUUGCUCUGUUAUUGACAAUGGGCAAAAAAAUUAAGUAGGCCUGAUAUGGUUGAUGAAAAUACGUAAGUAAACUUUAUACAAUAUAAAUAUAUACAUAUAUAAAUAUAUAUAAAUAUAUAUAUAUGCUGUAUAGGUAGUAUUUGUGUGUGAAAGACAAGCGUUUCAGUACACAAAUUAGCAAUAGAGACCGUCCAAGGACCUCCUCUUACCUGAUAGGAAGACAGUGCUUAGAUGAGUGUGAGAAAGUAGACCAAACACUUCCCCGCUAGGAACAAAUCCAGAUCCCUCCAUAUUUUCAUACAAAAAAAUAAAUAAAUAAAUAAAGGUCCCUCCAGGACUAAAAUCUUACACCAUCAUUACUAACUGUGCCAAGUACAUAGCAUCUGUCUGAAACUCCAUACUGCUUUGUAUAAAUCCUUAUUUUAUUAACAGAUACUACCCUAAAUAACCAGUAUUAUAACGGCUCUGUUAUUUCAGGUGAGCAUCUAGGUAGAACGCAGUCAGCUCUCAGUAGCAAGUGGAGACAGGUAGCUAAGAUCUGGUCAUCCCGGGGCAUCGGUUGCAAGCUCCUUAGCACUUCGUGUGAAGCCCUCCCUCUCCACUGCCCUCUCUGCAUUCGGUUGGAUGCACUCAUCCCACUCCCAGAAGGUCCAAGCAGCACAGGGCCCAUCUCCGCCAUGACAGUGGUCCACCCAUCUGACAACACAGCUCCCUCCCCUGGCCCUGCCCAGCAGGCAGGACCCCAAGAGCGAGAGCAGACCCUCAUGAAGUGCUAAGGCUCUCAAAGGCAGCCCCUGGCGGGGGAUGGUGUGUGUCCCAUGCUGUGUCCAGAGUGGUAGCAGUGAUCACUGUAAUUCCACGUAGCCAUGUGCUCACCAAAACCGCCCCCCCCAUGUCAUCACUGUGGCCACCAUUGUGACCCUGGCUGUCAAGCAGCUGGCCCUUGCCAGGCAAAUCCCCGCUGCCUCCCCUGGUCCCGUGAGCUGCCCGGGCAUCACAUGACUCUUAGCUGUGCUCUUGUCGCUUCUGUGUUGUGGUGACACCAUGCGCUGCACACCCACCAGCACUAGAGAGCAAGCCCAGCAAGCCAGAGUUUAGCCUUUUGUGACGGCAGUGACUGCACUGCCCGGCCCUGUCCUCCCAGGGUGGCGUUUCUUUCUCGGCCAUCAGCUCAGAAAGCACAGUGACAGCAUGGGUGUGUCCCAUCUGGUCUGGGCCAGGCGCCUUGUGUCUCCAUCUG
rnacentral:lncRNA from 1 species